rnacentral:rRNA from 1 species
CCUACGGGUGGCAGCAGUGGGGAAUAUUGGACAAUGGGCGAAAGCCUGAUCCAGCCAUGCCGCGUGUGUGAAGAAGGCCUUCGGGUUGUAAAGCACUUUCAGUGGGGAAGAAAGCCUUGGGGCUAAUACCCUCGAGGAAGGACAUCACCCACAGAAGAAGCACCGGCUAACUCCGUGCCAGCAGCCGCGGUAAUACGGAGGGUGCGAGCGUUAAUCGGAAUUACUGGGCGUAAAGCGCGCGUAGGCGGUCUGAUAAGCCGGUUGGGAAAGCCCCGGGCUCAACCUGGGAACGGCAUCCGGAACUGUCAGGCUAGAGUGCAGGAGAGGAAGGUAGAAUUCCCGGUGUAGCGGUGAAAUGCGUAGAGAUCGGGAGGAAUACCAGGGGCGAAGGCGGCCUUCUGGACUGACACUGACGCUGAGGUGCGAAAGCGUGGGUAGCAAACAGGAUUAGAUACCCUAGUAGUC